GUCUAUGGCCAUUACCACCCUUAUCACACUGGAUCUCAUUUGAUUUUAGAAGCUAAGCAGGGUUAGGCCUGGUGAGUAUUUGAGUGGGAGAUGUGGACU
rnacentral:rRNA from 1 species